rnacentral:rRNA from 1 species
GAUGAACGCUGGCGGCGUGCCUAAUACAUGCAAGUCGAGCGAACGGACGAGAAGCUUGCUUCUCUGAUGUUAGCGGCGGACGGGUGAGUAACACGUGGAUAACCUACCUAUAAGACUGGGAUAACUUCGGGAAACCGGAGCUAAUACCGGAUAAUAUUUUGAACCGCAUGGUUCAAAAGUGAAAGACGGUCUUGCUGUCACUUAUAGAUGGAUCCGCGCUGCAUUAGCUAGUUGGUAAGGUAACGGCUUACCAAGGCAACGAUGCAUAGCCGACCUGAGAGGGUGAUCGGCCACACUGGAACUGAGACACGGUCCAGACUCCUACGGGAGGCAGCAGUAGGGAAUCUUCCGCAAUGGGCGAAAGCCUGACGGAGCAACGCCGCGUGAGUGAUGAAGGUCUUCGGAUCGUAAAACUCUGUUAUUAGGGAAGAACAUAUGUGUAAGUAACUGUGCACAUCUUGACGGUACCUAAUCAGAAAGCCACGGCUAACUACGUGCCAGCAGCCGCGGUAAUACGUAGGUGGCAAGCGUUAUCCGGAAUUAUUGGGCGUAAAGCGCGCGUAGGCGGUUUUUUAAGUCUGAUGUGAAAGCCCACGGCUCAACCGUGGAGGGUCAUUGGAAACUGGAAAACUUGAGUGCAGAAGAGGAAAGUGGAAUUCCAUGUGUAGCGGUGAAAUGCGCAGAGAUAUGGAGGAACACCAGUGGCGAAGGCGACUUUCUGGUCUGUAACUGACGCUGAUGUGCGAAAGCGUGGGGAUCAAACAGGAUUAGAUACCCUGGUAGUCCACGCCGUAAACGAUGAGUGCUAAGUGUUAGGGGUUUCCGCCCCUUAGUGCUGCAGCUAACGCAUUAAGCACUCCGCCUGGGGAGUACGACCGCAAGGUUGAAACUCAAAGGAAUUGACGGGGACCCGCACAAGCGGUGGAGCAUGUGGUUUAAUUCGAAGCAACGCGAAGAACCUUACCAAAUCUUGACAUCCUUUGACAACUCUAGAGAUAGAGCCUUCCCCUUCGGGGGACAAAGUGACAGGUGGUGCAUGGUUGUCGUCAGCUCGUGUCGUGAGAUGUUGGGUUAAGUCCCGCAACGAGCGCAACCCUUAAGCUUAGUUGCCAUCAUUAAGUUGGGCACUCUAAGUUGACUGCCGGUGACAAACCGGAGGAAGGUGGGGAUGACGUCAAAUCAUCAUGCCCCUUAUGAUUUGGGCUACACACGUGCUACAAUGGACAAUACAAAGGGCAGCGAAACCGCGAGGUCAAGCAAAUCCCAUAAAGUUGUUCUCAGUUCGGAUUGUAGUCUGCAACUCGACUACAUGAAGCUGGAAUCGCUAGUAAUCGUAGAUCAGCAUGCUACGGUGAAUACGUUCCCGGGUCU